GGCUGUAGCUCAGCGCUAGAGCACCUGUUUAGCAUGCAGAAGGUCCUAGGUUCAAUCCAGGUAGGGCUG